AUUGAACGCUGGCGGCAGGCCUAACACAUGCAAGUCGAACGAGUGGCGGACGGGUGAGUAAUGUCUGGGAAACUGCCCGAUGGAGGGGGAUAACUACUGGAAACGGUAGCUAAUACCGCAUACCAUCGGAUCUGCCCAGAUGGGAGUAGCUAGGGGGUGGGGUAACGGCGCACCUAGGCGACGCUCCCUAGCUGGUCUGGGGGGAGGACCAGCCAAACUGGACAUGGGAACCGGUCCAGAUGCCUACGGGAGGCAGCAGUGGGGAAUAUUGAACAAUGGGCGAAAGCCUGAUGGAGCCAGGCCGCGUGUAUGAAGAAGGCCUUCGGGUUGUAAAGUACUUUCAGCGGGGAGGCGUUACCCGCAGAAGAAGCACCGGCUAACUCCGUGCCAGCAGCCGCGGUAAUAC
rnacentral:rRNA from 1 species